AAGUGAGGACAUGUCUGUGUCCGCCUGUCUUGUGCAACGUUUAUUGUGGAAUUCUGGCACAUUUUGUGUGUGCCAGAUGCCAUUUUUUCUACUCAUUUUAUUACUGUAUUCUAACGACAAUCAAAAAGAACCUUGA
rnacentral:misc_RNA from 1 species